UACCAGCUCCUCGAGUGGUCGGGACGAUUAUUGGGCCUAAAGCACCCGUAGCCUGUUCAGUAAGUCCUCUGUUAAAUCCAAUUGCUCAACAGUUGGCACGCAGAGGAUACCGCUGGACUAGGAGGCGGGAGAGGCGGACGGUACUCCGCGUGUAGGGGUAAAAUCCUUUGAUCCGCGGAAGACCACCAGUGGCGAAGGCGGUCCGCCAGAACGCGCUCGACGGUGAGGGGUGAAAGCUGGGGGAGCGAACCGG
rnacentral:rRNA from 1 species